rfam:HIV-1 isolate 21B-2206 pol protein (pol) gene, partial cds.
AUAAGUACAGUAUUAGUGGGACCUACACCUGUCAGYGUAGUUGGAAGAAAUCUAAUGUCUCAACUUGGUUGCACUUUAAAUUUUCCYAUUAGUCCCAUUGAAACUGUACCAGU